CGGGAUCCAUCAGCUUGCUUGGUGGUGAGAGUGGCGAACGGGUGAGUAAUGCGUGACCGACCUGCCCCAUGCUCCGGAAUAGCUCCUGGAAACGGGUGGUAAUGCCGGAUGUUCCACAUGAUCGCAUGUGAUUGUGGGAAAGAUUCUAUCGGCGUGGGAUGGGGUCGCGUCCUAUCAGCUUGUUGGUGAGGUAACGGCUCACCAAGGCUUCGACGGGUAGCCGGCCUGAGAGGGCGACCGGCCACAUUGGGACUGAGAUACGGCCCAGACUCCUACGGGAGGCAGCAGUGGGGAAUAUUGCACAAUGGGCGCAAGCCUGAUGCAGCGACGCCGCGUGAGGGAUGGAGGCCUUCGGGUUGUAAACCUCUUUUGUUUGGGAGCAAGCCUUCGGGUGAGUGUACCUUUCGAAUAAGCGCCGGCUAACUACGUGCCAGCAGCCGCGGUAAUACGUAGGGCGCAAGCGUUAUCCGGAUUUAUUGGGCGUUAAAGGGCUCGUAGGCGGCUCGUCUCGUCCGGUGUGAAAGUCCAUCGCUUAACGGUGGAUCUGCGCCGGGUA
rnacentral:rRNA from 1 species